rnacentral:rRNA from 1 species
UACGUAGGGGGCAAGCGUUGUCCGGAUUCAUUGGGCGUAAAGAGCGUGUAGGCGGCCAGGUAGGUCGGUUGUGAAAACUCGAGGCUCAACCCUUGAAAGCCGGUUGAUACUGUCGGGCUAGAGUCCGGAAGAGGCGAGUGGAAUUCCCGGUGUAGCGGUGAAAUGCGCAGAUAUCGGGAGGAACACCAAUGGCGAAGGCAGCUCGUUACACGAAUAUUGACUCUGAGGCUCGAAAGCGUGGGGAUCAAACAGG